rnacentral:rRNA from 1 species
UACGGAGGGUGCGAGCGUUGUCCGGAAUCAUUGGGCGUAAAGAGCGUGUAGGCGGCCCGGUAAGUCCGCUGUGAAAGUCCAGGGCUCAACCCUGGGAUGCCGGUGGAUACUGUCGGGCUCGAGUCCGGAAGAGGAGUGUGGAAUUCCUGGUGUAGCGGUGAAAUGCGUAGAUAUCGGAAGGAACAUCAGUGGCGAAAGCGACUGCCUGGUCCAGCAUCGACGUUCAGGCACGAAAGCGUGGGGAGCAAACAGG